UGCGUAGGCGGUUCGGUCAGUCUGGUGUGAAAUCCCACAGCUUAACUGUGGAACUGCCUUUGAGACUGCUAAUCUUGAGUACGGAAGAGAGAGAUGGAAUUCCAGGUGUAGUGGUGAAAUACGUAGAUAUCUGGAAGAACACCAGUGGCGAAGGCGAUCUCUUGGUCCUUUACUGACGCUAAGGCGCGAAAGCGUGGGGAGCAAACA
rnacentral:rRNA from 1 species